rnacentral:lncRNA from 1 species
GUGAGGGACUGUUUUCUGCUCUUAUCACAUCUGUGUUGACAUUCGUGGAACAAAUACUCAUUGAGAGCCUUUUAUGUCCCAAGCACUGUGCUGGGGAAUGCAGUUAGAAAAUAAUGAGUCCAACCAGACCUGGUUCCUGCCUUCAUGGAACUUACAUGUAGGAAAGACGGAAGCUGCAACUUAUCCAGCUCUGCAGGAGUGGUGCCUUUGACGCUCAUCCUGACUCCUGACUGAUGAAUUAUUUGGUCGACUGAGGCAGAAUCACCUUUACUGGAGCAUAAUCUGUUGGAGGCAGCAUCUCCUGAAGUCUCCAUGAGUUGCUGGAAUGAAGAUGCAAGAGGAAAUUUGGAGAUGUUGCUUGAAAGUUUAAAGUAUUGGUGUUACCGAACCAUUAGAAUAUUACAUAUGGACAACGCCCAUCCAUUAGAAUAUUACGUAUGGACAACAUGGUGGAACAUUUCGAAUAAGGUUUGUCCCACAAAAUCCAAUAUAAAUGUUUGCUUUUGUCCUUUUUAAUGAUAUUGCAUUUGAAUUAUACUGAGUACAUUAUGACAUAUGAAGCUCUCAGACUGUAGGAUGGGAACAGCCAGACUUUAUGCAGUGCAGGUGCUGGCAAACUUUUUCUGUAAAGCAUCAGAGAGAACUAUUCUGGUUUUGCAGGUCAUGUGGUUUAUGUCAGAACACUUGACCGUUGUAGCACAAAAACAGCUAUAGACAAGAAGUAAAUGAAUAAGUGUGGCUCUCUUCCAAGAAAACUAUUUAAGGCCAAU